GCCGGGGUGGUCGAAUCCGGUUCAGGCGGUGGGCUGCAGACCCACAGUAUGCGGGUUCAAAUCCCGCCCCCGGCU
rnacentral:tRNA from 1 species